GGGAUUGUGGCUCAGGGGUAGAGUGCUUGCCUCGCAUGCAUGAGGCCCUGGGUUCAAUUCCUCAGCACCA
rnacentral:tRNA from 1 species